GGGCCGGUAGCUCAGCAUGGUUAGAGCGCGUGACUGAUAAUCACGAGGUCGCCGGUUCAAAUCCGGUCCGGCCCA
rnacentral:tRNA from 1 species